AUUGAACGCUGGCGGCAUGCUUUACACAUGCAAGUCGAACGGUAACAGGCCUUCGGGUGCUGACGAGUGGCGAGCGGGUGCGUAAUGCAUCGGAACGUACCCAGAGGUGGGGGAUAACGCAGCGAAAGCUGUGCUAAUACCGCAUGUGAUCUGAGGAUGAAAGCGGGGGACCGAGCAGCAAUGUUUGGCCUCGCGCCUUUGGAGCGGCCGAUGUCGGAUUAGCUAGUUGGUGGGGUAAAGGCCUACCAAGGCGACGAUCCGUAGCUGGUCUGAGAGGACGACCAGCCACACUGGGACUGAGACACGGCCCAGACUCCUACGGGAGGCAGCAGUAGGGAAUUUUGGACAAUGGGCGCAAGCCUGAUCCAGCAAUGCCGCGUGCGGGAAGAAGGCCUUCGGGUUGUAAAACGCUUUUGGCAGGAACGAAACGGUGUCCGCUAAUACCGGGCGCUAAUGACGGUACCUGCAGAAUAAGCACCGGCUAACUACGUG
rnacentral:rRNA from 1 species